GUUGGAGGAAAACUGUAUAUAAGGGGAUUCAGAUGUUGCUGAGACACUUGGCAGCGGAGAACAAAAAUCUCUUUUCUUCAGAGAUCUACAAGGCAGCAAAGUUUGUUAAAACAAACAGAAAAUACCAGAAGAUGUCUGACCAUCAAUCUUCGCAGUAUUAUCAACAGAAGGCUUCUAACAGUGCACGUGAUCCAAAAGGGAAGGCUUCUAAAAGUGCAAGUGAUCCAAAAGGGAAGGCUUCUGAAAGUGCACGUGAUGCAAAAGGGGAGGCUUCUAAAAGUGCACGUGAUGCAAAAGGGGAGGCUUCUAAAAGUGCACGUGAUCCACAACAAAG